rnacentral:rRNA from 1 species
UACGUAGGGGGCAAGCGUUGUCCGGAUUUAUUGGGCGUAAAGAGCGUGUAGGCGGUCAGGUAGGUCCGUUGUGAAAACUCGAGGCUUAACCUCGAGAUGUCGGCGGAAACCAUCUGGCUAGAGUCCGGAAGAGGAGAGUGGAAUUCCCGGUGUAGCGGUGAAAUGCGCAGAUAUCGGGAAGAACACCCGUGGCGAAGGCGGCUCUCUGGGACGGUACUGACGCUGAGACGCGAAAGCGUGGGGAGCGAACAGG